rnacentral:rRNA from 1 species
GUCUAUGGCCAUGCCACCCUGAACAAGCCUGAUCCCAUCUGAUCUCGGAAGCUAAGCAGAUUCGGACCUGGUUAGUACUUGGAUGGGAAACCACCUAGGAAGACCAAGUGCUGUAGGCG